UUGAUGUAUUUUAAAUUCAAAGCUUACAUUUUAUUGAAAAGCAACUAUAGUUCAAAUAGUCUUUUGAAACUUUAUACAAAUCAUGAUUGAUACUUUUUAAAAUCUAAGAAGAUUAGAAAUAUCAGUUUAAACAAUUAAACUAAAGUCAAUCAAGCAAAGGCAUAAAAUGUUGAAAUUGGCCCACCUUUUUGCAUUCAAAACAAAUAAUGGGAUCCUUCUUCGAUUCUUCUUCUUUAUUGAAUUUUUUUUCCUUGCCUUCGAGGAAAUUGGCCCUUUUUGAACAUCUUGUUGAAUCUUCUUGUCAACAAUGCCAUUUUCUCAUCAUUAUCUUCAUAAUCUUUGAUUUCUUCAUUUAUUUGUGAUGAUGAAGUAUUGAAAAUAAUUUUUCUUUUCUUCUUGCUUUCAUUAAUUUCCUCAUUACUCUUUAAUGUGAUCUCGUGUGUCACGAGGGAGCUAAGUAAUUCAUCAAGACCCAUUUUUAUAAGGUUUUUUGCUUCUUCAAUGGUGGUCAAUUUUGGUCACCAACUUCUUGGUAGAUACCUAAAAAUUUUUCUCACAAUUUUUACAUUAGUAUACUCUUUUUCAAGAGAUUUUAGACCAUUUAUUAUGUCGGUGAAUAUAGUAAACAUUUUAGAGAUUGUUUCAUUUGCUUCCAUUGAAUAAUUGGGUUAACGUGGAGCCACUAUACCCAAACUGACAAACACCCAAGAUCCAAGAUCUAAAUCACCUAAUUACUACCUUCUGAAUACAACCGCUUGAGCUAAUCUCAAGUUGUUCAACUUCAAUUUACAAACAAUUUUUUUUUAAUUCUGAUUCUUUGCAAUUUUCUUAGGAAAAAUCUUAAAUUUGAUACAAUAAAUAGUUGUAAAUAAAUAAAUUUAUAAUUAAUUCUCAAUUCCCAAAAAAUCGUUGUAAGAGGUUGUCCAUCUUGUCUCUAAAGUAAUCUAAUUUGAUCCAAUGUCUGACCAUCUAAAUGUAAUAUUAAGACUUGACUCCAUUGGUGUGAAAUAUUUUUCCAUGAGGAUGGCUAAUAUGAAAUUCCCCUGCUACUAUUGAGGAUCCCAUUCGGGGUAAUGAUGCAAAAGGAUUAGAUGUUGGAUAGUAUAUAAUUAUGAAGCUACACGAAAUAUGUAACCAAACAGGAUAAGUAGAGCUAAAUGAAUUAAGCUGAUGAAGAUUUGUUUUAGUGAAUUUUUCCCCAUAAGUACGGCUUAAGUUGAGCAAGAUUUAUUUUAGUGAAUUUUUUUUUGUAUGUAUGACUGCCAGUGAUAAGUAGGGUUAUAAACGAAUUUAUUUUAGUGAACCUUUUUCAUGUUUAAGUUAGGGUUUUAUUGAUGGAUGAUUAAGAAGAAGAAGGUGGGUGUACUAAGAGUCCUUGGGACGUACUCUAAGGUUUUAAAUAAGAGUAAAUGGUGAUAUUUAAGCAUUAUACAUUGCUGAUUUGAUAUUUUCUUCCAAGUUGCUGGUGAAAUUAGAUUUUCCUAGGUUAAAAGUAGUUAAGCAACACACGCAUGUCCAAUCAACUGCACAUACAUGUCUAAACAGCUUAAAAGCAUAAAACUUCUAACAAAAAAUUUAGAAAAUUCAUUAAAAGUAAUAGGACACCAAAAUCAAGGCAAAAUUAAGUCCAAAAGUUAAGUUACAGUUGUGAAACGUAAAAUACACUAAACAUAUAUUAUAGGGCCAUGCUAACCGCAACCGACUCAUUUGUGAAUGGUGAUUAAAGGUGAACCAAGGGUUAAAAGAAAUUAAAAUUUCAAUACUUCGUUUACACAUUUUGAGUGCACUUACAAAAUUUAUGUACUUUUUCAUUUAUUUCUAUAUAUUUGACUUGUUUCCUCUCUGGGCUGAUGAUUAAUUAUUUUAGUCAUAUUAAAAGUCUAUUUUUGUCGUUAAUUAGUCAAUUUUUAAAGUCCAGAAUAAUUGUAACAAAUGAAUAUAAUAUUUCAAUUUUUUCAGUAUUAAGUUUUCAUAUUAUCCAACUAUACCUUAAUAUUGCCCUUAUCUCUAAAUGAACUAACCUAAAUAUUUAGGUGGAGGUUGUUCCUCUCUUCCAAAGCUUGUACCUCAAGGAAAAUCUCAAGCAGAGCUAAAGAAGUAGGACCUUUCUAAUUCUUUCAUGGCUGAAGGUAAUUUUAUAUUUUAUUGGUUGGUUUUUGUUUUCCUCCCCACCCACCCACCCACCCAC
rnacentral:lncRNA from 1 species